GCAGCACACUCUGUAAACAACAGUGGAGUACAGGAAGAGGAAACCCCUAGCAUAGAAUUUGACACAAAUCAGGCAUCCAGCAAAUGGGAGCAGAGUAAAUGUCAUCCUCAAAGACACCUUUCAGCAUGGAAUCGUGAUAUACCAUUUAACAGCGUGUGCCUGACAAACUACCCACAGAUGCUGUCCUUGGUGCUGCUCUGCCCCCACACUCUUCAAGGUCUCAGUUAAAGAUGUGAAACGCUUUGCUUCUCGAAUUGGAAGGUCAUCCAUGCAAUGCCAACCUGGAGGAUAACUACACUGUUGGAUGCUAGAGUGUAAAACUACAAUGAUAUCUGUAGGUUGGAAAUACUUGCCAAACUUCAAAGAGCUGUUUUGAUUUUUAAUAGAGAUAGCUUCAUUUUCCACCUAAUGUAAGUUUCCUGGCAUUUUAACUCCUCACAUGAUCAGUGGGUGAGGUAGUUUUCCAGGUACUAUAGGCUCAGUUUGUACCAGGGUAAAAGCUGGAGAAUUGCAUUGGUAAUGGAAGAUUGGCCUGCAGGACUGCAGGAGCAAAGCGCUGCCUGCCACCUUUUGAUAAUUCAUAGUGUGAUCACAUGAAGAGAAAGAUGCCAUCCAGGAGAGCAAACUGAGGCUGGACUCAGCUGUGAAGGGACGGCAAUGAGGAAGGUCCAGAAUCAUUCUGAUGCAGUUUCACUUGCUGUCUGUUUCCAGAGAACUUUUUAAAAGCUAUUUUGUCUUGUCUGGACCAUGAGGUUGUCUUCCUAUGUACCGAGAGCCCUUGCUGGCCAAGGUCUCUGAGACCAGCUGGGUUGGUUAGGUAGCCUUACCUGGCAAUGGAAACAGGUCUACA
rnacentral:lncRNA from 1 species